rnacentral:rRNA from 1 species
AAAAACAUCGCCUCUUGCAAAACUGAGAAAUAAGAGGUCCCGCCUGCCCUGUGACUAUAUGUUUAACGGCCGCGGUAUUUUGACCGUGCGAAGGUAGCGCAAUCACUUGUCUUUUAAAUGGAGACCUGUAUGAAUGGCAUAACGAGGGCUUAGCUGUCUCCUUUUUCAAGUCAAUGAAAUUGAUCUCCCCGUGCAGAAGCGGGGAUAACACCAUAAGACGAGAAGACCCUAUGGAGCUUUAGACACCAAGGCAGAUCAUGUUAAACACCCCUUCACAAAGGACCAAACCAGAUGAACCCUGCCCUAAUGUCUUUGGUUGGGGCGACCGCGGGGAAACAAAAAACCCCCACGUGGAAUGGGAAUACCCCCUCCUACAACUAAGAGCUCCCGCUCUAAUGACCAGAAUUUCUGACCAAUCAGAUCCGGCAACGCCGAUCAACGGACCGAGUUACCCUAGGGAUAACAGCGCAAUCCCCUUUUAGAGCCCAUAUCGACAAGGGGGUUUACGACCUCGAUGUUGGAUCAGGACAUCCUAAUGGUGCAGCCGCUAUUAAGGGUUCGUUUGUUCAACGAUUAAAGUCCUACGUGAUCUGA